rnacentral:rRNA from 1 species
CCUACGGGCGGCAGCAGUGGGGAAUAUUGGACAAUGGGGGCAACCCUGAUCCAGCCAUGCCGCGUGUGUGAAGAAGGCCCUCGGGUUGUAAAGCACUUUCAGUGAGGAAGAACGCCUGGUGGUUAAUACCCAUCAGGAAAGACAUCACUCACAGAAGAAGCACCGGCUAACUCCGUGCCAGCAGCCGCGGUAAUACGGAGGGUGCGAGCGUUAAUCGGAAUUACUGGGCGUAAAGCGCGCGUAGGUGGCUUGAUAAGCCGGUUGUGAAAGCCCCGGGCUCAACCUGGGAACGGCAUCCGGAACUGUCAAGCUAGAGUGCAGGAGAGGAAGGUAGAAUUCCCGGUGGAGCGGUGAAAUGCGUAGAGAUCGGGAGGAAUACCAGUGGCGAAGGCGGCCUUCUGGACUGACACUGACACUGAGGUGCGAAAGCGUGGGUAGCAAACAGGAUUAGAUACCCCAGUAGUC